GGGGCUGCUUGGUUUCUACGUAUAAUUAAUAGCUGUAAGUUUUAGGAGAUAGCUUUAAGCUAAGAUUAUUGAUUUUAGUUUUAAUAUAAAUCCAAAACACCAAAUUAUCCCUUUCUCUUUAAAUCAAGUUUUUGCAUAAAUAGCACAAAAACAAGAAUAAAACUUUUAUUGAGUCUCAUCUAAAAAAUCUUCAUUUUUAGUUGAUUAAUAUAUUGAAGAUGCUCUUGAAUUUUAUAAUUUAAGCAAAGUUAUUCGAUUGAAUUAAAUAACAUUAAUAUCUCUUUUUAUAAUCAUUUUGUAAUAUUUUGACAAAUGUUUGUAUAGGCUUAUAAAGUUGAUUCAUACGGACGUGGGUUCGAAUCCCACCAGCUCCA
rnacentral:tmRNA from 1 species